UUUUAGGAGGAAAAUCUGCAACUUUGAAGUUACAUUUGAACGUAUAAGAGGAAUACCUGCCUGUCAGCAUAACAUAGCCCUGAGUUUGCAGGUAUCAGCCUCACCUUUCCCUGACCUCCAUAUGAAUUACUGCAGAUGAGCUCUGUAAACCCUAGGAGGAAGACUCACAGCCUACCCGCCGGCUUACAUCCCCGGAAAGGGGGAAGGAAACAAGACUGGGAGGAAGAGAACCCCUUCUUCUGCGCCCCCCAAAACCAGCCGAGGGGGGCAGCUGGUAACGCCAGCACCUCACACCCACAGACGUGCCCAUCGUACGUCCCACGGCACGCUGUCGACCCAGUGUGUUCGUGCAGGGCCGAGCGGCACGCGUUUGAGAAAUUAAUUCCUGGCAGCAGUGUGAUGCCACCAGUCUGAGGGUGGCCUGGAGUGAGCUGGGAUUCACAGACCGUGAAGGAAGAAGGAGGGGAUCCUGAAGCAGUAACAGACUGUUUGCUCCUGGACUCUGUCCAAGGGGACUGCUUCCGCAUCAGCGCUGUUCCCAGUGGGACUAUGGAAGGAAAAGAGACAUCACCAAGUCAUCACUUAGAGGAGAGCAGCGUAUUGGACCUACCCUCUGUUUGUGAACUAGCAGAAUGCUUUCUGCCUUCACCCAGCUCUGAAAACAGUGAGGAGCUUUUUCAUUCCAUGGAUACUUUUCCCUCUCUGCCCACAGGUAACAGCUUCUGCCUCUCUACAUGCUCUUUCUUUAGCCAGUGCAUUGUCUAUUUAGGCAGUGUGUCAUUUGACUGAGUAACCACAGUCUGAUACUAGUGCAUCUGCCUUGUCUUAAAACACAGUUUACCAGAACUACAUACAGUCUGUUCCAGCUUGACAGAUACAGUGUGAACUGGGGGUUGAUGAAACACAAGAGUUCAGAGGAUACUACCAGCUGCUAGUGUUUUGACAACGCUGUUUCUUCAUGUUUAGUGUGUUCUCAGAGGAAGAGUUACUUGAACUAACCCACAUAGCAAUCCUCCAGCCAUCAGUAGGAAACACUGUCUUAAAUUACCAUAGUCAGUCAGA